UGAAUUUGUUGGCUAUGGAGGAGGCAGAAAAUAGAUUUCUUGGGGAACACGACUUCAGAAAUUUUUGUAAAAUGGAUGCAGUAAAUGUGCACAACUAUAAGCGGCAUAUCACGCUGUUUGAAAUUUGUCCUUCUGAUGUGAGAAAAAAGGGGCCCAACUGGUUGUGCUUGAAGGGAAGUGCCGGAAUGUAUGGGAGAGUGUUUGGUCUAAUUCUUGUUUAGAUUUGCAUCGAAUGUCUUCUGGGGCAGCAAGGGCAUUGUUUCCAUGUAUUUAUCUUACUGGA